AUGAUCUCACAGGUUCAGCUCAUCUGGCUGCUAGUCCUCUGGAUCCAGGACUCCAGUGGGCAGAUGGUGAUGACUCAGACUCCAGAAUCCCUGGCAGUGUCUCCAGGCGACAGAGUCACCAUCAACUGCAAAGCCAGUUCCAACACUAACAACUACGUAGCCUGGUACCAACAGAAAGCAGGACAAGCGCCUAAGCUUCUUAUCUAUGCUGCUCUCUCCCGUUACACUGGGGUCCCAGACCGAUUCAGUGGCAGUGGCUCUGGCUCUGGCACUGAUUACACUCUCACUAUUAGCAGUGUAGAAGCUGAAGACGCUGGAGAUUACUAUUGUCAGUACACUUAUAGCUCCCCUCUCACAGCGAUACAGACCCGUACAAAAACCUCCCUGCCCUGUGUGGUUUCAGUUUCUCUCCUGUAA